ACGACGUAUCCCUCCAUACACCAACACCACAGGCCAGACUAGGCACAGACUGUGCACACAUCUUUCUCUGGUGUAUGCUCAACUCCAUAAUAACAUAAAAUAAUGGUUUUGAUUCUGUUCGUGUCUAAAAUGUCAACGAGAUGGGAACUAUUAUUAUUGUUGUAAUUUUGUUUAUGUGAUUGUGUUUUAAUUUUGUGUAAGUUUAAUGUUUUAUGAAUGUGAAAUGACGAUCUCUUUCGUGAACUGCUAAAAACGAUUUUGAGUCGUUCAUUGUUUAUUUUCUUCCAUCAACAAACAUGGCAGUUGACAGUAUGUCCGAUGAUUCUUCUGCAGACUCCGUUAAAGUAGUCGAUAACAGCCGAUUAGAUAAGAAAAAAAAGAAAAAGAAACACAAGCAUAGAAGUGAACGAAAACAUAAAAAAACGAAGAAAGAAAAUGGAGAAACCAAAUUGAAGGAUAAGAAGAAAUCAAAUGGUGACCAUAUCCAAAAUGGUAAACAAAAAAGACCACCAUCUCCACCCCCAACUGACAAUAGUAAAAAGAAAAAAAUUGAAGGACCCAUAAUAACAGAAAUCAACUUGGAUGAAGAAGAAAUGAAUUUAGAAGAACUAAUCAAGCAAAAGGCUUUACUUCAAGCCAGAUUAGGAGCUUAUUUAUCAGAAUCAGAAGAAGGUGAUAAAACCAAUAAAAAAAAAAAGCCAAGCGCUAAAAAAUCAGUUGAAACCAUUAACCUAAUUGAUGAUGAAUCAGAUGAAGAAUACAAAAAUAAGAAUUCUGAACGUGUAAGAAGUCCAUUAAAACGUUAUCAUGGUUCCAGUCAAGAAAUUAAGAAAACAAGAGAUAGAAGUGUAAGUAAAGACUUAACUCAUUUAAAGUCAGAUCGUAUAAGAAAAGAAAAAGAACGUGAAAAAGAAAGAGAUCGUGAUAAGGAAUAUGAAAGGAAUCGAGAAAAAGAAAAAGACAGACAAAGAAAAAUUAAACAUUUGGAAGAUGAAAAGCGACGUGAAAUAAGACGAAAAGAAGAGGAAAUCAAAAAAAGAGAAGAUGAUUUAAGGAGGCGUGAACAAAGAAGACGAGAUGAAGAAAUAAAAGAUAUAGAAGAAGAAGCAAAAAGACGAGCAGAAGAAGUAAGAAGACGAGAAGAACAGAUCAAGCAACGAGAAGAUCAAUUAAGACGGAGACGAGACCGUAUUAAAAGUCCUAUACCUAAUAGAGACCGUGCAAGAAGUCCACCUGGUCCCAAUAGAUAUCGUGACCGUGAUCGAGAACGUGAUCGUGAUAGAGAGAGAGAUAGAGAUAGAGAUAGAGAAAGAGAUAAGAGAUAUAAUAGAAAAUAUGAUAGGAGAUCACAUAGUAAAGAACGAUAUUCUAGAUCUCAUAGAGGAAAAGAUAGAGGAGAUAAAUAUAAAGACAGUUUUUCUGAAGGUCUUAAGCGUGAUGAUAAGUCAUCUUCAGAUUCUGACAUUGAUGUAAAUAUAAAUAUUGCGGAAGACGAAAACGAAGAAGAAAUUAUUGAAAAAAGAAGAAAGCAAAGGGAGGAAUUAUUGAAGAGGUUAGGAGCAAAUAAUAGUAAUUUGCAUAGUGAAGAUUCUAUGAAUCCUUCUCCACAUGGAAGUUACGCUACUGAAACAUCUAUUCAACAUUCGCCAGAACUUCCAUCUCCUAAAGAAACUGAUAGAAUAUUAAAUGAUUCUGAUUCAGCAACAGAUAAAGAGACCACAAAGCCUGAUCAUGUAUUAAAUCCUGAUUUAAUAAAAGGCAAAUGGGAUAUGUUUGCAGAGGCUGAUUCAUUUCAUGCUACACAACAUACUCCUCAACCAGAUGGUAUAUCCAAUGGAAACAAGAGUGUACCAGAAAAUCCUUCUUUAACUGAUAACUGGGAUGAUGCAGAAGGAUAUUAUCGCGUAAGAAUUGGUGAAACAAUGGAUUCACGUUAUACUGUCUACGGAUAUACUGGGCAAGGAGUAUUUUCUAAUGUUGUUCGUGCUAGAGACGCGGCUCGCGAUAAUCAAGAUGUGGCUGUUAAAAUCAUACGAAACAAUGAAAUUAUGCACAAAACAGGAUUGAAAGAAUUAGAAAUUCUUAAACGGUUAAAUGAUUCUGAUCCUGACGAUAGGUUUCAUUGUCUACGUUUAUAUCGUCACUUUUUCCACAAGCAACAUUUAUGCAUGGUUUUUGAACCUCUCAGUAUGAAUCUUAGAGAGGUGUUGAAGAAAUAUGGUAAAGACAUUGGAUUGCACAUUAAAGCUGUUCGUUCAUAUAGUCAACAGUUGUUUUUGGCAUUGAAAUUGAUGAAAAAAGCAAAUAUAUUACAUGCUGACAUCAAGCCUGAUAAUAUUCUGGUGAAUGAAAGUAAGUUAGUACUGAAAUUGUGUGAUUUUGGAUCAGCAUCACACAUAACUGAUAAUGAAAUUACACCCUAUUUGGUCAGUCGAUUCUACCGGUCCCCUGAAAUAAUUUUAGGUAUUCAGUGUGAAUUUGGCAUUGAUAUGUGGUCUGCUGGUUGUACUAUUUAUGAACUUUAUACUGGAAAAAUAUUAUUUCCAGGCAAAACUAAUAACCAAAUGUUGAAAUAUUUUAUGGAUUUGAAAGGAAAAAUGGCUAACAAAACUAUUCGGAAGGGAAUGUUCAAAGACCAACAUUUUGAUAGCAAUUGUAAUUUUCUGUAUCACGAAGUUGACAAAGUCACAGAACGAGAAAAAGUUAUAACCAUGUCUUCGAUAAAUCCUAGUCGAGAUUUAUAUACUGAAUUACUGGGAAACCAAAAAUUACCAGAGGAGCAAAUUCGUAAAGUUGGACAAUUGAAGGACUUGCUUGAUAAAAUACUGACUUUGGAUUCUUCAAAACGCAUUGGCAUAUCACAGGCUUUGAAGGAAAGCUAACUCGAAAAAUCAUACAACACUAGGAAUUGACAAAAUCAUUUCUCCUCCAAUGUUUAUUUGGGUUACCAAACAGAGAGAUAGAGAGAAGGGCAAAUCAGAAUGGCUAUUGUAUCCAUAAUUGGUAUCCAUACAGGUAAUAAAAUGAAAUAUUACAUUUAAAAAAUGGAUUAAUUAAUUUGGAAAUUAUUUCAAAUAAUUUUAAUACAAGCUUUCUUAUUACUUUUAAGAAUACUUCUAAAUAUUGUAAUUAUUGUAGUGAAACUAUUUCAUUUUCAUUGAUUACGUGUAAACAUGUACAACAUUGUUUACUUUCAACAUUCCUUUAAACCAAUUACCUGUUUUAAUAGGUUGUAAGUGAAGUAUGUCAUAAUAUAUUGUGGGUAUUACAUUUAAUUAUAUUUUUUUAUCGUGAUAAAUGUAUUAUUUUAAAUUUUGAACAGAACAAAGAAGUUUUAUAACUAUGUUUUUUCCUCAGAAAAUAAUAUUGAAAGUAAAAAAGCUCAAAAACUUUUUCAAAAUUAAUUUGAUAGAAAAGAGAGGAGAACCCUAGUUAUUAUUGCAAGUUUUUUAAAAAUUGUAAGAAACCGAAAAAAAAAUGUGUUUGUAUAUUUAAUUAAAACAGUAGCUUGGUACACAGAUGGCUAACAUCCAAUAUCACUUUUUUUUUUUUUUUAAUUGAGAUUAACAGCCUACAGGUUAAGCCCCAAUGUUGAAAAACAAUUAUUAGUUUAUCAUUAAGUAUAAUAUGUUGGGUUAACAGACCUCACAUUAUUAAUUUAUAACAGGCUCAUGUAGGAUCUUGAAGAAUCGACCUUUUAUGUAAUUUUCUUCAACAUAGUAGAGUCUUUAUAACUUGUAUUAUGUUUUCUUAUGGUAAUAUUUCUAAGUAUAGAACAAAAUUAUUUAUAUGGUAAUUUAUUUUAUGCAUUUAUCAUUAUUGACCAUACAAAUGUUAGUAAAAUCUUAGAAGAAUCAAUCAGAAAUUAUUAUGUUAAGUCUCAACCCCUCCUCCUCAUGGGGCUUAACCUGUGUAAGCAAAAAAAA
rnacentral:misc_RNA from 1 species